rnacentral:rRNA from 1 species
UACGGAGGGUGCAAGCGUUAUCCGGAUUCACUGGGUUUAAAGGGUGCGUAGGAGGGCAGGUAAGUCAGUGGUGAAAUCUCCGAGCUUAACUUGGAAACUGCCGUUGAUACUAUCUGUCUUGAAUAUUGUGGAGGUGAGCGGAAUAUGUCAUGUAGCGGUGAAAUGCUUAGAUAUGACAUAGAACACCAAUUGCGAAGGCAGCUCGCUACACAUAUAUUGACUCUGAGGCACGAAAGUGUGGGGAUCAAACAGG